rnacentral:rRNA from 1 species
GUGAGGAAUAUUGUACAAUGGGCGAAAGCCUGAUGCAGCAACGCCGCGUGAGUGAUGAAGGCCUUUGGGUCGUAAAACUCUGUCCUUGGGGAAGAAAAAAAUGACGGUACCCUUGGAGGAAGCCCCGGCUAACUACGUGCCAGCAGCCGCGGUAAUACGUAGGGGGCAAGCGUUAUCCGGAAUUAUUGGGCGUAAAGAGUGCGUAGGUGGUUUUGUAAGCGUAGGGUGAAAGGCAGUAGCUCAACUAUUGUUAGCCCUGCGAACUGUGAGACUUGAGUGCAGGAGAGGAAAGUGGAAUUCCUAGUGUAGCGGUGAAAUGCGUAGAUAUUAGGAGGAACACCAGUGGCGAAGGCGACUUUCUGGACUGUAACUGACACUGAGGCACGAAAGCGUGGGUAGCAAACAGGAUUAGAAACCCUUGUAGUCC